rnacentral:rRNA from 1 species
CCCGGAGAUGGGUACUGAGACACGGACCCAGGCCCUAUGGGGCGCAGCAGGCGAGAAACCUUUGCAAUGUGCGAAAGCACGACAAGGUUAAUCCGAGUGUCUCCUGCUAAAGGAGUCUUUUGUCAGUUGUAGAAUCACUGGUGAAUAAGGGGUGGGCAAGUUCUGGUGUCAGCCGCCGCGGUAAAACCAGCACCUCGAGUGGUCAGGAGGUUUAUUGGGCCUAAAGCAUCCGUAGCCGGUUGCAUAAGUUUUCGGUUAAAUCUAUGCGCUUAACGUAUAGGCCGCCGAAAAUACUGUGCAGCUAGGGAGUGGGAGAGGUACACGGUACUCGAUAGGAAGGGGUAAAAUCCUUUGAUCUAUUGAAGACCACCUGUGGCGAAGGCGGUGUACCAGAACACGUUCGACGGUGAGGGAUGAAAGCUGGGGGAGCAAACCGGAUUAGAUACCCGGGUAGUCCCAGCUGUAAACGAUGCAGACUCGGUGAUGCAUUGGCUUGUGGCCAAUGCAGUGCCGCAGGGAAGCCGUUAAGUCUGCCGCCUGGGAAGUACGUACGCAAGUAUGAACUUAAAGGAAUUGGCGGGGGAGCACCACAAGGGUGAAGCCUGCGUUCAAUUGGAGUCAACGCC